AUUGAACGCUGGCGGUAUGCUUAACACAUGCAAGUCGAACGAUGAGAAAGAGCUUGCUCUUUCGAUUAGUGGCGGACGGGUGCGAAACGCGUAGGAAUCUACCUAUUAGUGGGGGACAACUUAGGGAAACUUAAGCUAAUACCGCAUACGCCCUACGGGGGAAAGAAGGGGAUCGCAAGACCUUUUGCUAAUAGAUGAGCCUGCGUAGGAUUAGCUAGUUGGUGGGGUAAAAGCUCACCAAGGCGACGAUCCUUAACUGGUUUGAGAGAAUGAUCAGUCACACUGGAACUGAGACACGGUCCAGACUCCUACGGGAGGCAGCAGUGAGGAAUAUUGGUCAAUGGGCGCAAGCCUGAACCAGCCAUGCCGCGUGCAGGAUGACGGUCCUAUGGAUUGUAAACUGCUUUUGUACGGGAAGAAACACCUUUACGUGUAGAGGCUUGACGGUACCGUAAGAAUAAGGAUCGGCUAACUCCGUGCCAGCAGCCGCCGUAACAC
rnacentral:rRNA from 1 species